rnacentral:lncRNA from 1 species
GUGCAUCCAAUCUACCCUCCCUGUUUCCAGGCCUGCAGCCAUUCCGUGCUGCUGCGGCUCCACCAGCAGCAGUGGCAGUAGCCUGAAGUCUGAAAGUGUCCUUUGAUGGUGGAAGCAGAAGCAGCAUUCACUUUGUCGUGUUCUUUUUUUUCUUUUUCUUUUUCUUUUUUUUGCUGUUUGAAGGAUUCCACACAGUACGAGCACAGCUGGGUUCUCUACAAGGGAGAAGGGGAUUUUAGAAACACAUCGAGGCUGAGUUGAGAGGGCAUUAGCACUGUUGUACCGGACUGGUUUACUGACUGCUCUGGCCAAUGCUGGCAGCUAACCCAGCUAAAAGGGUUGUGAGGAACCUGUGCUGCUGUGUGCCCUGCUCCUGUCAGCCAGACCUGCAUCCUCGGCCGUUCUCCAGCCACUUUAUUUCCUCCUGACUGCACGCUGGCACUGGAAACUUGGAGAAAUCACAGAAAUGUAGGAGUUUUUUUUUUUCUCAAACUGCCAACUGGUUCUUUUUAUCUCACUGGAAAUCAUGCAAGACAAAGAUCUCAGACUGAUGAAUAACUGUAUGAUUUGUUCGCAUGUGGGUGACGUCGGGAACAGCGUGAAUCAAACAGUUUUCUAAAUGAUUUAGAUGCGUACAUCCAGGCUGGGGCUGAGGAACCAGAGAAUUCCUCUCAUAACCAAUCUGCAAGAACAAAACUUGCACGUUCAGUUUGCUUUCUUUCCAGUUCCUGGGGCCGUGGUGCAGGCACAGCUCUUGUUAGUGAAAGCCCGAAGUGCUCAGCAGCUCCAUGGCCCCAUUUCUGCAAAGCAGAAGCAGCUGCUAAACACUGAGCUCGGUGGGAGACAUGCAAAUGUGCUCCCUUGCUUUGAUAGAUUGAAGUCACAGGAAGGCUUCUAAAAUCUCCUUUGCUCUCGGGAAGUCAAUAGCAGAGCUCCUAUUGAUUUCAAUGAGAAGAAAACCCUUCAGAGGGAAAGUAAAUGACUACGGUUCACCUCUACAGAGAUCAGCGCUCUCACAGGUUUGAAACGUGAGAUGCUGAGCAUCUCUAGCAUCGCAGUGAGCUCUGUGUGACACCACACCGUGGUGUGCUUUAUCACCAACACAGACCUUCCUCCUGCCUGUCUUCAUCUGCCCCCAGGAGCAGAGCGGAGGAGUCACAUCUCCUCCAGGUCACCUUGGGUUUCCAUAGUGACUCUUUGAAUACAACUGUCUUAUCAAUCAGAGCCUCUGUAACUUUCAGAAGCAACUAUAGAAUCUCCUCUAGUUUCUAUAGCAACCAUCUUUAGACCCAUAUAUUUGCUUUCUCUUGUCUUAGCUGAAUUGUUGGAAAUAGAGCGAAUUAACCGCUGGUGCAAUAUUUCUUAUAUUCUUUUCCCUUAAGCUAUCCUAUACUGUCAGCCAGAACAACACUUCUGAUGAGGCCAUAGUCCUUUUGUUUUACUUACUAAGGGGUCCUCUUUGCCGCCUAGGCAGAAGAAUACCACGUCUUUUAAACCACCAUUUUCACAAGGAAUGUGAAAACUUGAAACCUGGAGAGCGUUUCCCUUCCAGUUCCAGCCCCCAUGUCGUUCUGUUCCCGUGCACUCAGAAGAACAAGUCGUGCUGCUUUGUUAUCCUAAAUCGCUUCUCGUGAGGAUAUGCCAGAGCAGGAAGCUCAGUGCAAAGUACAGCCAUCGCUUAACUGCAAUGCUGCGACUUAGUCAAAUAUUAUUAUCUAUAGGGGAUGAGGAGCGUGCACAAGGUUAAUGGCCCAUCUACGCUGCGGACCCAAUAGAUGUCAAAAAGGUUAUUUUUUUUUCCAGCCUAAAUGUGGUAACUGCAGACAGAGCUGCUAUCGCACUGUCUAUGGUUUCAUCCAGCAGACAGCAGGCAGACAUAAAGCUAUCUGAAAUAGCUGACGCUGUCACAAAGACAUCUACCACCUUCCUUCACUAUCCGACUGCUAAACGCAUUGCUUUUCAGUCUCAGAAACUUUAUUUUCCCUGGGAAGAUCCUAAGUGGAGAACGUGCUUAACUCAAGGCUCUACAGUUAGUAAUGGAUAAUCACUCUGCUCGCAAUCUCUGGUGCAGGAUUUCUGGAAUGCUCUCCAUGCAGCACAUCGCAGGCACACCUGUAACUUGUACACCUUCCAGCCUACCUAAAAACAUAGAGAGGCUCUCCAAAGGAGGAAAGGACCUGAACUGCUGCGGUGCUGGUUUCACAAGCUGCCUGGACAACUGCCUGCUGCGGUUGUCCCUAUCUGAACAGGGCUUGGGCCGUGGCAUGCUGUGCAGUUUCCCACCACGCGUGCAGGCUGGCCUCUCACAGCACGUACUCUCACCUGUGCCGUGGGUGGGAGCAGCUCACAAGCAUCUGUAAGCAGGAACGGGGCUGUGCUAGGGUGGCACUUCUAGCAUCCCGCUGGAACAUCAUUUAUUCUCUCCUGUUGGUUUUUGAUGCCCUCUUCUCUGCCAGAUAUUUAGCUGCACGUCCCAGCCAUCUUCCAGGCAGCUGCUGCCAAGAACACAGUCUUCUUGUUUGUACUGCUUCCUUUCCCAUUGAAUUGUGCCUGUCCAGGGCCCGCCCUGGGCUUUCCCUGGGGUGAAUGGCUCCAGUAGCAAUGGAACUGGAGGUGGGGCUCCAGCACAGUCCUGCAGGGCAGGGGCAGGUCCUGCAGAUGAAGUGCUGGUUGUUCACUCCCAUGACUCCCACGAGCGUCUGGGCUGACCUAAGCAGCCAUGCACCCCCCCGGAUGCUAAACAUCCAGAUCCACAUUCAUCCAAUAGAACUUUAAGUACAAAAGCCCACUCAAACUCAUCCUCUGGCCCUCACUGUAACACUGCUGAGAUAUCUGAGAUCUCAGUGAUGGUGACUUUUCCAUGCUAUUCCACAGGAAGAAAAAAAAGCAGAAAGAUGGGGACAGAAAGUUUGAGCUUCUUUCCAGGCUCCACAUUUUUUUGUGUCUUAUUUUUCUUUUUAAAGGUGGGAUUUUGAAAUAGGAGAGCAACGACUGAAGCUCACCAAUGCCCCUGGAGAGGUAACAAUCAGCUGUUUGACUUCUGAUAGCAGUGGAAGCAGGUGCAAUUCUUACUGCAUCUGUUACACCUCUGCAGGCGCUACUGCUGAAGCAUGCAGCAAAAAGCUCAGUCUUUCAGGCUGGUGACAGGAGGCUGAGAUGGACACAGAGUCACAACAACAGGGAUGCUUUAGAGGCAGCACUGCAUGAGCCUUGUCCCAGAGCCAGAUGCACCCGGUGGGAGUUCACACUGCAGGGAGACAUGCUUUUCUGUAGGAUGGUCCUCCCCUGAGACACCCCUGAAGGAUUAGUCAGACUCGCAUGCCUCAGGAGUAAAUGGGUACUGCAAAUACUGGAAGAAGAACAAAAAUAAAGCUGAGCAGAGCUGCAGCACAGGCCCAGGGAGCUGCCUGCAUGGCUGAGUGGGCCCAGGCUGUCCAUGAGGAGCCCUGCCUGGUGGGAAGGGAGCAGCUGGGAAGGGUCUGCCUGCAGCGUUCCUCAUGUUCAUCCCCUGCUCACCUGCAGAGCCCAGGGCUGUAGGGAGGUCCCUGCCCCUCGCUGCAACACCAGGGACAACCUGCCCUGCCUCUCACAAGGACAAGAGAAAAGGACAAGAGAAAAUGCCUGCAGCUGUCUUGCUCAUGGUGGGGUCCUGCAACAAUCCCAAGUAGCUACAUCACAGACAACACACCCAUGCUGUUUGUACAGCAGCAUCUCACAGAGCUCAGAGCCUGCUGCACUGAGUACAGACACAAGUGAUGCAUUGGAACAGGCUGCCCAGGGAGGUGGUGGGGUCAGCAUUCCUGGAGGUGCUCAGGGAAAGGGCAGAGGUGGUACUGAAUGAUGUGGUCUGGAAUGGGCACAGGCAUAGGUUAACAGCAAGACUGAAGGGUCGCAUAGAACUGUUGAGGCCGGACUAAUCAAUCAAUAAGUACAUGAACAAAAAAUGCUGUAGGUGCCAACAGGAAGAAUUAGUUCAGAACAGAAAAUAAUUUCCACAUCAUCCAUCUGAGGAGAAGGGGCCACAUCUGAAUGUUUGAACUGUGUGUAAACACUACAGCUAUGGCUGGAGAAGUAUGUUGAUAAAUCGCAUCUAUCCUGAGCAGGCCUGAGUGGUCUUUAGGCAGAGCAGGGCUGUUCAGUGGGACAGGAGAAUCAAUAUGGACUUUGUAAGUAGAAAGACUGCACAUAAGCAAGAUGAUUUACUUGCACAAAAUGCUAUUGUUUUAAAUGAAGCUCUGAACUCAGUAUUUUGAUAUCCAUAAAGAAUAAAACAGAAGUAAUUUUACCACCACAGGAAUGCACUGUUUUGGACUCAAAACCAACAAUGGUUCCCAGGCUUCCCUUCUGAGCCCCAGGAGGUACCAGCAGGCAUCUUCCCCACGAGAGGGGUUGUCAUCAUAAAGCAUUCAUUUGCUGAAAACAAAUAUAUUGGCUUCAACAAACUGGAAAAUGUUGGGAAUGGGACUGAAUCUGAGAGAAAAAGCUUAUAAUGAGCUUCUGGCCAUUCUGGGAUGCUUCUCCAGCCUGCUUUCUUUCUAAAAGAAAAUGAAAAUACA